rnacentral:rRNA from 1 species
GACGAACGCUGGCGGCGUGCUUAACACAUGCAAGUCGAACGGAAAGGCCCUGCUUUUGUGGGGUGCUCGAGUGGCGAACGGGUGAGUAACACGUGAGUAACCUGCCCUUUACUUUGGGAUAACUUCAGGAAACUGGUGCUAAUACCGUAUAGGAGCUCCUGCUGCAUGGUGGGGGUUGGAAAGUUUCGGCGGUUGGGGAUGGACUCGCGGCUUAUCAGCUUGUUUGUUGGGUAGUGGCUUACCAAGGAUUUGACGGGUAGCCGGCCUGAGAGGGUGACCGGCCACAUUGGGACUGAGAUACGGAACAGAAUCCAACGGGAGGCAGCAGUGGGGAAUAUUGCACAAUGGGCGGAAGCCGGAUGAAGCAACGCCGCGUGCGGGAUGACGGCCUUCGGGUUGUAAACAGAUUUAGACUGUGACGAAGCGUGAGUGACGGUAAUGGGUAAAGAAGCACCGGCUAACUACGUG